AGGAUGAACGCUAGCGGCAGGCCUAAUACAUGCAAGUCGAACGGUGGCAGCAAUGUCAUAGUGGCGCACGGGUGCGUAACACGUAACUAACCUACCUAUAACUGGGGGAUAGCCCGCCGAAAGGCGGAUUAAUACCGCAUAAGCUUGUGAGUCGGCAUCGACUUAUUAGUAAAGAUUUAUUGGUUAUAGAUGGGGUUGCGGGUCAUUAGCUAGUUGGUUGGGUAACGGCUGACCAAGGCGACGAUGACUAGGGGAGCUGAGAGGCUGGUCCCCCACACGGGCACUGAGAUACGGGCCCGACUCCUACGGGAGGCAGCAGUAGGGAAUAUUGGGCAAUGGGCGAGAGCCUGACCCAGCCAUGCCGCGUGCAGGAAGAAGGCUUUCUGAGUCGUAAACUGCUUUAGACAGGGAAGAAUAAGCACUACGUGUAGUGUGAUGACGGUACCCGCAGAAUAAGCACCGGCUAACUCCGUGCCAGCAGCCGCGGUAAUACGGAGGGUGCGAGCGUUGUCCGGAUUUAUUGGGUUUAAAGGGUGCGUAGGCGGCUUUUUAAGUCUGGGGUGAAAGCCCGCUGCUCAACAGCGGAACUGCCCUGGAUACUGGAGAGCUUGAGUACAGACGAGGUUGGCGGAAUGGACGGAGUAGCGGUGAAAUGCAUAGAUACCGUCCAGAACCCCGAUUGCGAAGGCAGCUGACUAGGCUGUUACUGACGCUGAGGCACGAAAGCGUGGGGAGCGAACAGGAUUAGAUACCCUGGUAGUCCGCGCCGUAAACGAUGGAUACUCGCUGCGAGCU
rnacentral:rRNA from 1 species